GUGUGUGCUUUGGCAGCAGAAGUAUUAAAAUUGGAAAGAUACAGAGAAGAGUAGUAUGGAUGAUGUGUAAGAAAGAUCUAAAAAUUCAUGAAGCAGUCCAUAUUUUU
rnacentral:snRNA from 1 species